rnacentral:tRNA from 1 species
CACCGCCCUCUCAAGGCGGAGACCACGGGUUCGAAUCCCGUAUGCGCUACCA